GGAAACAACCAAUUUUAAUGGCUUGGUUUUAGUAGAUGAUCAGUUUGAAAGAUAAUUAUUUACAAUGCUGAAAUGAGAAUUGAUCAUUUUUCUCAAAACGUUUUUCAGGUUAAAAAAAAAUCUUUAUUAGUUGUAUCUUCCCUUAAUGACAGGGUUCAAGGGCAAGACUUAAGCUAGCCAACUCAGACUACAUCACAGAAUGCAACCAAAUGUUUGCUCAAUUAGUAAGUUAACAUCAUAAAAAUAAGUUUUAACUGUGGACGAUUUUAAAGCAGCAAAACUGCCGAAUCUUUAAAAAACUGGGAACUGCCACAGCUCUUUUAAUGAACACGUGCCCCGGAUACGCUACCAAGGAACUAAUAAGGUCUUAGGCAUCGUUUUGUUUUGUUUUGGUAUUACUAAUGUCUGCAGGCUUUCAGCAUUAGGUCUCUCUCUGUAACCCACAGCAGGGCCUAGAACAUGAGGCGGUUGCGCGUGAGCAGUAUUUCUUUUUUUAACUCCAGGAAAUGCCCCGCAAACGAUAAACGCUAAGAGCCCGAUUGACAUCCUUCUUGCCCUUCCAUCUCUUCUUUACGAAGACGGUUAUAACCCUGGCGGGACCAGGGGUGGAAUAUUGUGGUUUUGAAGGGACAGAGCGAGUGCGUGGGUGCGUGAGAACACGGCAGGAAGGGGCAACGAGACGUGACCACUAAGCAGGGGGGAAGGAUGUUGCCUCUUCUAGGGCGGGAAGAGAUUGCGAGAGGUGCUGUUAUGCAUGACCAAGGCUGGCACGCGGGGAAGAUGGUGAUGGCCGCAGGACAGGGUGAAUGCGAGGGACUCCCUGUUAAGGGGCAGCGUUCGUGGCCGCCUCCGGUGAACGAUUCGGGAGCAACGAAAAGGCUUAAAUACCGAAGGAAUGACUUUAAAUCUUGCUGGAUGGGACUGCCACUCACCGCUAGAAAUCGGGGAUCAACAGCAAACUCUGGAUGACCCUGUAACCACAUCUCCAGUUCAGCCCGGCGAGGGGCAUCCUCACCCACCAGCAAAGUACCAUCCACCUUAUUGAUGACGGGGAUCCGGGUCUCCAGGUCCACAUCAAGGUGAUUAGGCUCUUCCAUGCACUCCACCUCCAGCUGCAAACCCAGAAUCCACCCCCAUGAGCACAUACUCUUCUUUGGGGGAGGUAGGGAGGGGGAGCAGAGCCAAUGGUAGUCAUGAAAUGACUCUAGUAUUUUCCAUUCCCUCAAUCCCACUGCCUUCAUCAAUUAUUGGGAAUAAAAAGAUAAUCUAAUCA